UGGAGGGUAUCCUGGCUGCAGGAAAUGCAUCACUACAGUAGAGAGCAAUGAGCUUGACAUUGCCUGUGCAAUGGUGCUGCAACAUCACAAUGGCAACAGGGUCAGGCCAGGAUGGAGCUGCAUCGUUCCUUCCGAAAGGGGUGGAAAGCAUUCCGUGCUUCCGGCUCCAAUCGUAUGCCAGCCACGGUGAAGAUGGAAACCACUAUGGAGCAAGAAAAGGGGAAAAAGUCUUGCGUUACAGUGCCUCUAGAGGCAGUCAUAAACAACUUAUGCUUUUAUAACGUUUUACCAUGUUGAACCUGGAUCAGAGUCAAACUAAAGUACUAUCUAAAUGCAA